rnacentral:rRNA from 1 species
UUCCGUAGGUGAACCUGCGGAAGGAUCAUUACCUGGCCUUGGGCCGCUCGUGGGGGUCCGUCGCUUGCGACGGUGCUCUCGCGGGUGCUUAGCCCUUGAACACCACCUUGACUAUGCGCACCGUUGUUGUUCCCUCGGCAGUCCUCUGCCGCUGGGACCCCAUAAACCCUCUUUGCAGUAGAAUCAACCCUUCUGAAAACAAACCUAAUUAAUUACAACUUUCAACAAUGGAUCUCUUGGUUCUGGCAUCGAUGAAGAACGCAGCGAAAUGCGAUAAGUAGUGUGAAUUGCAGAAUUCAGUGAAUCAUCGAAUCUUUGAACGCACAUUGCGCCCCUCGGUAUUCCGUGGGGCAUGCCUGUUCGAGCGUCAUUUACACCCUCAAGCUCUGCUUGGUGUUGGGCGUCUGUCCCGCUUCGCGCGCGGACUCGCCCCAAAGGUAUUGGUAGCGGUCUUGCCGGCUCCUCGCGCAGCACAUUGUGCCCUGGAGCCCGGCGGAUCGGCGUCCAUGAAGCCCACAUCCACAGUUUGACCUCGGAUCAGGUAGGGAUACCCGCUGAAC